rnacentral:rRNA from 1 species
GACGAACGCUGGCGGCGUGCCUAAUACAUGCAAGUCGAGCGAAGUUUUUCUGGUGCUUGCACCGGAAAAACUUAGCGGCGAACGGGUGAGUAACACGUAAAGAACCUGCCUCAUAGACUGGGACAACUAUUGGAAACGAUAGCUAAUACCGGAUAAUAGCAUUAACUGCAUGGUUGAUGUUUAAAAGUUGGUUUUGCUAACACUAUGAGAUGGCUUUGCGGUGCAUUAGCUAGUUGGUGGGGUAAAGGCCUACCAAGGCGACGAUGCAUAGCCGACCUGAGAGGGUGAUCGGCCACACUGGGACUGAGACACGGCCCAGACUCCUACGGGAGGCAGCAGUAGGGAAUCUUCCGCAAUGGGCGAAAGCCUGACGGAGCAACGCCGCGUGAGUGAAGAAGGAUUUCGGUUCGUAAAGCUCUGUUGUUAGGGAAGAAUGAUUGUGUAGUAACUAUACACAGUAGAGACGGUACCUAACCAGAAAGUCACGGCUAACUACGUG